rnacentral:rRNA from 1 species
UGGGGAAUAUUGGACAAUGGAGGAAACUCUGAUCCAGCAAUUCUGUGUGUGUGAAGAAGGUUUUAGGACUGUAAAACACUUUUAGUAGGGAAGAAAAAAAUGACGGUACCUACAGAAGAAGCAACGGCUAAAUACGUGCCAGCAGCCGCGGUAAUACGUAUGUUGCGAGCGUUAUCCGGAAUUAUUGGGCUUAAAGGGCAUCUAGGCGGUAAGACAAGUUGAAGGUGAAAACCUGUGGCUCAACCAUAGGCUUGCCUACAAAACUGUUGAACUAGAGGACUGGGAAGGUGGGUGGAACUACACGAGUAGAGGUGAAAUUCGUAGAUAUGUGUAGGAAUGCCGAUGAUGAAGAUAACUCACUGGACAGAAACUGACGCUGAAAUGCGAAAGCUAGGGGAGCAAACAGG